UUCUCACACGAUCUCCUAAGUUAAGCAACGUCGAGCUAGGUCAGUACCUAGACUGGUGACCUCUUAGGAAUUCCAGGUGCUGUAAG